rnacentral:rRNA from 1 species
UACGGAGGGUGCAAGCGUUAUCCGGAUUUAUUGGGUUAAAGGGUCCGUAGGCGGACUCGUAAGUCAGUGGUGAAAUCUCAUAGCUUAACUAUGAAACUGCCAUUGAUACUGCGGGUCUUGAGUAAAGUAGAAGUGGCUGGAAUAAGUAGUGUAGCGGUGAAAUGCAUAGAUAUUACUUAGAACACCAAUUGCGAAGGCAGGUCGACUAUGUUUAACUGACGCUGAUGGACGAAAGCGUGGGGAGCGAACAGG